GAAAAGCAGGUGCCUGCAUCCGCGCGGGCACACGCCUCAGCGGCUCGGCUGCCUUGCAGCGUGCACACGUCUCGUUUCAGGAGGGGCUCGGCUCACAAAGGUGGAGGGAAUCCAGGGGGGGGGGGAAGAGCCUUAGUGGAAAUUGCCUUUGUUGCAAAGAGAAUCCCGAAGGGAGCCGUCAUUGGGACACUUGGUUUUGAACGGCUGGAGCACGAGGCGCGUCCUGGUGCGGGAAGGGGCGGAGAAGGGCGGCUGUCGGAAGCAGCUCCCGGGCUCCUGGGCUGGGACAGGCUUUUUCUGUCCUGUCCUCUUUGCUUCUAGCACAGAGCCACCGCAUGUUCACGGAGCACCACCCCGUGCAGGGAGCAAGGGCUUGGUGACAGGAUCCGAUGGCCGAGGGGCACGUCCUCCCUAAGGGACAGAGCAAACAGUGGAGCCCAGGGGCCACUGUCCACAGGGUGGGAGAUGCCGCACACAGCUGCUCAUGGCCCUGAAAGAGAAGGGUCUGGAGCAGGAGAGUGGCCGCAGCAGCCCGGCCUGCUAGCAAGGACCAACAGGAGGCUUGACAAGGCCUCCCCCGCCCUCUGCCUCCGCCAGGAAGGAGAAGCAGCGCUAGGGCUGCCCCGGUUCAUGCCCGAAGGUCUCACUUGCUUCUGCAGCCGGCAGGCUCAGCAGGUCGUGCUCCCUGGGGAGACCGGGGCCAGGGCACCAGCCAGAGCGCAGAGGGCCGGGGGGCUCGGGCUGGGGCUGACGUCCUAGGAGGCGGGCAGUGGGGUCCAGCAGCUGCUGCGUUGGUGGCCCUCGCCACGGUGGAGGGGCAGAGCUGUGGACUUCCAGCUGCUCCCAGGGUGGGUGGUACCACACAAGGAGAAACCAACAAAACUUCUCCCUCCUCCGCCUCCCUCUUUUCCUCCCUCUGUCCUUCCUUUCCCCUCCCAGACAUUUAUUGAGUGCCUACUGUAUGCCGAAGGUGAUUCUAGGAGCUGUGUAUGCAGUGGUAAGCAGAAACACAACCUUGCCCAUGUGGAACUUCCGUUCCGACAGGAGGAGAGAAACCAGUGUGUGUCAGAUGAGCAGACAGGGCCGUGCGUGCAGAAGAGGGCAGGUGAGAGACACCUGCCACUGGGCCUCUGUGGAGGGACGUCCUCGGAGCAACUGGCCAUCCCGGGCGGCUGGCCUGCCCACCCCUCAGCACAGACCCAGGGACUCCAGGGCCCCCCCCCACACUGCACAGGGCCUGCGGGGCCUGCGGGGCAGCCAAAAAUCCACAUACACAGCCUUGACCUUCCAGUCAAUGCCAACAUUCGUGAAUGGGCGUGGCCUCUGCAGGGAUGAGCACAAGAAAGCCACGCUCUGCGACAGCGUGGGGAAGCAUUCCUGAGCGUCCUCGGCACCGAUGGCGGAAGCCUUUCCUUCCCAGUAUAAUUGGCCUUUACACUUGGUGAGUAAUGAUCACAGGAAAAGCGCGCCCUGCUGAAGCCCGGGGAAUGUAUCACUGACUUACUCAUCCAUUCCAUAAAUACUAACGCAAGCUGUUGGCACGUUUGCACCUCAGCUCAGGGCCACGUGCUCGUGAGCUGCUUGGGCU
rnacentral:lncRNA from 1 species